rnacentral:rRNA from 1 species
CAGUCGCCACGGGAAUACAGAGGGUGCAAGCGUUAAUCGGAAUUACUGGGCGUAAAGCGUGCGUAGGUGGUGGUUUAAGUCCGUUGUGAAAGCCCUGGGCUCAACCUGGGAAUUGCAGUGGAUACUGGGUCACUAGAGUGUGGUAGAGGAUAGUGGAAUUUCCGGUGUAGCAGUGAAAUGCGUAGAGAUCGGAAGGAACAUCUGUGGCGAAGGCGACUAUCUGGGCCAACACUGACACUGAGGCACGAAAGCGUGGGGAGCAAACAGGAUUAGAUACCCCAGUAGUCCCUGUCUCUUAUAC